CAUGCAAGUCGAGGGGCAGCAUGGUCUUAGCUUGCUAAGGCCGAUGGCGACCGGCGCACGGGUGAGUAACACGUAUCCAACCUGCCGUCUACUCUUGGACAGCCUUCUGAAAGGAAGAUUAAUACAAGAUGGCAUCAUGAGUCCGCAUGUUCACAUGAUUAAAGGUAUUCCGGUAGACGAUGGGGAUGCGUUCCAUUAGAUAGUAGGCGGGGUAACGGCCCACCUAGUCUUCGAUGGAUAGGGGUUCUGAGAGGAAGGUCCCCCACAUUGGAACUGAGACACGGUCCAAACUCCUACGGGAGGCAGCAGUGAGGAAUAUUGGUCAAUGGGCGAGAGCCUGAACCAGCCAAGUAGCGUGAAGGAUGACUGCCCUAUGGGUUGUAAACUUCUUUUAUAAAGGAAUAAAGUCGGGUAUGNAUACCCGUUUGCAUGUNCUUUAUGAAUAAGGAUCGGCUAACUCCGUGCCAGCAGCCGCGGUAAUACGGAGGAUCCGAGCGUUAUCCGGAUUUAUUGGGUUUAAAGGGAGCGUAGAUGGAUGUUUAAGUCAGUUGUGAAAGUUUGCGGCUCAACCGUAAAAUUGCAGUUGAUACUGGAUAUCUUGAGUGCAGUUGAGGCAGGCGGAAUUCGUGGUGUAGCGGUGAAAUGCUUAGAUAUCACGAAGAACUCCGAUUGCGAAGGCAGCCUGCUAAGCUGCAACUGACAUUGAGGCUCGAAAGUGUGGGUAUCAAACAGGAUUAGAUACCCUGGUAGUCCACACGGUAAACGAUGAAUACUCGCUGUUUGCGAUAUACGGCAAGCGGCCAAGCGAAAGCGUUAAGUAUUCCACCUGGGGAGUACGCCGGCAACGGUGAAACUCAAAGGAAUUGACGGGGGCCCGCACAAGCGGAGGAACAUGUGGUUUAAUUCGAUGAUACGCGAGGAACCUUACCCGGGCUUAAAUUGCAGAUGAAUUACGGUGAAAGCCGUAAGCCGCAAGGCAUCUGUGAAGGUGCUGCAUGGUUGUCGUCAGCUCGUGCCGUGAGGUGUCGGCUUAAGUGCCAUAACGAGCGCAACCCUUGUUGUCAGUUACUAACAGGUUCCGCUGAGGACUCUGACAAGACUGCCAUCGUAAGAUGUGAGGAAGGUGGGGAUGACGUCAAAUCAGCACGGCCCUUACGUCCGGGGCUACACACGUGUUACAAUGGGGGGUACAGAGGGCCGCUACCACGCGAGUGGAUGCCAAUCCCAAAAACCUCUCUCAGUUCGGACUGGAGUCUGCAACCCGACUCCACGAAGCUGGAUUCGCUAGUAAUCGCGCAUCAGCCACGGCGCGGUGAAUACGUUCCCGGGCCUUGUACACACCGCCCGUCAAGCCAUGGGAGCCGGGGGUACCUGAAGUGCGUAACC
rnacentral:rRNA from 4 species